rnacentral:rRNA from 1 species
UCUCCUGGAAACGGGUGGUAAUGCCGGAUGCUCCAGUUGGAUGCAUGUCCUUCUGGGAAAGAUUCAUCGGUAUGGGAUGGGGUCGCGUCCUAUCAGCUUGAUGGCGGGGUAACGGCCCACCAUGGCUUCGACGGGUAGCCGGCCUGAGAGGGCGACCGGCCACAUUGGGACUGAGAUACGGCCCAGACUCCUACGGGAGGCAGCAGUGGGGAAUAUUGCACAAUGGGCGCAAGCCUGAUGCAGCGACGCCGCGUGCGGGAUGACGGCCUUCGGGUUGUAAACCGCUUUUGACUGGGAGCAAGCCCUUCGGGGUGAGUGUACCUUUCGAAUAAGCACCGGCUAACUACGUGCCAGCAGCCGCGGUAAUACGUAGGGUGCAAGCGUUAUCCGGAAUUAUUGGGCGUAAAGGGCUCGUAGGCGGUUCGUCGCGUCCGGUGUGAAAGUCCAUCGCUUAACGGUGGAUCCGCGCCGGGUACGGGCGGGCUUGAGUGCGGUAGGGGAGACUGGAAUUCCCGGUGUAACGGUGGAAUGUGUAGAUAUCGGGAAAGAACACC